GACGAACGCUGGCGGCGUGCCUAAUACAUGCAAGUAGAACGCUGAAGGAGGAGCUUGCUUCUCUGGAUGAGUUGCGAACGGGUGAGUAACGCGUAGGUAACCUGCCUGGUAGCGGGGGAUAACUAUUGGAAACGAUAGCUAAUACCGCAUAAUAGCAGUUGUUGCAUGAUAACUGUUUGAAAGGUGCAAUUGCACCACUACCAGAUGGACCUGCGUUGUAUUAGCUAGUUGGUGGGGUAACGGCUCACCAAGGCGACGAUACAUAGCCGACCUGAGAGGGUGAUCGGCCACACUGGGACUGAGACACGGCCCAGACUCCUACGGGAGGCAGCAGUAGGGAAUCUUCGGCAAUGGACGGAAGUCUGACCGAGCAACGCCGCGGGAGUGAAGAAGGUUUUCGGAUCGUAAAGCUCUGUUGUAAGAGAAGAACGAGUGUGAGAGUGGAAAGUUCACACUGUGACGGUAGCUUACCAGAAAGGGACGGCUAACUACGUG
rnacentral:rRNA from 1 species